rnacentral:rRNA from 1 species
CUACGGGGUGCUGCAGUGGGGAAUAUUGCACAAUGGGGGAAACCCUGAUGCAGCAACGCCGCGUGGAGGAUGACGCAUUUCGGUGUGUAAACUCCUUUUAUAUAGGAAGAUAAUGACGGUACUAUAUGAAUAAGCACCGGCUAACUCCGUGCCAGCAGCCGCGGUAAUACGGAGGGUGCAAGCGUUACUCGGAAUCACUGGGCGUAAAGCGCGCGCAGGCGGCCUUUUAAGUUGGAUGUGAAAGCCUACGGCUCAACCGUAGAACUGCAUCCAAAACUACUAGGCUAGAGUCUGGGAGGGGAAGAUGGAAUUAGUUGUGUAGGGGUAAAAUCCGUAGAGAUAACUAGGAAUACCAAAAGCGAAGGCAAUCUUCUGGAACAGUACUGACGCUGAGGCGCGAAAGCGUGGGGAGCAAACAGGAUUAGAUACCCCCGUAGUC